UCUUUCUCCAGGGCUGGAGAUGCUGUUGACUGAUGGCCUUGGGAGGAGAGGUUGCAGCUGAGCCCACACUCUCAAAAUCCUCCAGACUGUUUCUACUUUUGUAGACUAAUUUUCUGUUAACCCAAAAUCCCUCAGACUUACUCAACCAGUACAGCAGUCAUUGGCCGGAGUUCAAUUUUCUGGUUCGAAGGAAUGUGAGUUCUACCUGCCAGUACUGAUUGUUAACAGUUAUGGCUUCAUACGUAGAGGAGGUCCGGUGGCAUCCCUUCUCUAGCGGCUGGUGAGUUUCCGUGUAUCUCAGAUCACACUAGAUUUUGGGCUUAUUUUUCUCCCCAUCUUCUUACGUUACUGUAGUCAAUUUACAAAUGUGACUCAGCAUAAACGUUUUCCUUUUUCUGCACUUUAGGAUCCCUUCACCAGAAUUUUCCUGCAAAAAUUUUUCACAUGGAUUUCCACGGGCUCAGAGUUUUUAAAUUU
rnacentral:lncRNA from 1 species